rnacentral:rRNA from 1 species
GUGCCAGCCGCCGCGGUAAUACGGGGGGGGCAAGCGUUGUUCGGAAUUACUGGGCGUAAAGGGCGCGUAGGCGGUUUGCUAAGUCGGAUGUGAAAACUCUGGGCUCAACCCAGAGCCUGCAUCCGAAACUGGCAGGCUAGAGUCUGGAGGGGGUAGCGGAAUUCCNGGUGUAGCGGNGAAAUGCGUNGAUAUCAGGAGGAACANCCNUGGCGAAGGCGGNUACCUGGACAGAAACUGACGCUGAGGCGCGAAAGCUAGGGGAGCAAACAG